UUUGGUCAUGGUGCAGAACCGGAGAGGGAAGAAGACCCUGGAGGAAGCAAGCUCUGAUGAGAGAGCGAAGGUCAGGCCCUGGACCCACCCACAGAGGAAGACUGCAGAACGUCUCAGGCAGCUGGUUUCUGCUAACUCUUUGAGGGGCUGGCUAUGAGGGAUAGCCUCACUCAUCCAAUUGUUACUGAACCAAACACAGGUUCCUUUACCCACUGCAGAGUAGGGCCAAAAAGAAAAAAACUGAAACACCAGACUUGUGGCAAGGAAAGAGAUUUACUGUUAUGAAAAGGCAGCUGGAUGAGAAGAUGGGAGUUAGGACUCAGAUCCACAUUCCUGAAAGGAAAAAGGUAACCCACAGGAGGGAGAUCAUUGGGAGUGGUUCGCUCAAAAAUAGGAACGAUGAGGACGGCAGAAGCCAUUGUCUAUGGCUCCAGGUGUGGUCCAUGGACCAGCAGCAUCUGGAUCCCCUGGGUGCUCGUUGGAGAUGCUGAAUCUCAAGCCGUAGAUGUAAUAAAUCAGGGUCUGCAUUUGAGCCAGCACGCCGAAUGAUUCUUGAACCCAUCAAAGUUUGGUCACCCUGAGACUCAUCCUGGACACCCAUUCCUUCCCCCACUGUCAUGAGCCCCUCCCCCCAAAUAAAAGAAUAAAAUGAA